GGAACAUUCUGUUAGAAGGGAUCAACUCUGUGAUAACAUUUAUGAAUUAUAGCUAGUUAAAUUCAAUGUGAUCAAGGACGAAGGUUUGUUGGGGAUUUUAAGCGCACAAUGCAAAUAUGUAUGCGUACUUGAAGACUAAUAAUUAUAUGCAUGAAUAACAAAGUAAGGAAACUGAGAUCGAUAUAAAUUGUUUAGUGUGGUCUCUUCGUGAUUAUGCUCGUUGGCAAGUAAUAAGUAAGCCUUAGAGACUUGAUGACUAUAGUGAAAUGUUCGACAUGGUUUGUGCGUUGCUUCAGGGCCUAAGCACGCCUUUGAAAACACGAGUUAUAGCAAAGUGUUCAGCACGUAGAAAUGAAACAUCUGCAAUGCCUUCUUGAGUUGCAUGAAAUUGGACUUAUCUUCGAUAGAGUUGAAAUGAGGC
rnacentral:misc_RNA from 1 species